CUGCGCGCCGGGGGCACCGGGACGGGACCUUCAGCCUGGUGACCAUCUACAGAUUCACUCCCACGGAGCGGGAUCUGGGGGCGCUGUUCUCCUGCCGGGCACGGCACCCCCUGCUGAACCAGUCUCGCCAGGCCGACUUCUGGAUCUCCUUCAGGGCUGGCGGCCUGGAGAUGGGGUUCAGGGUCCUGCUGUGGGUGCUGCGAGCGUCACUGCUGCUGGCCAUGGCCAUGGGGGGCUGGCUGUACUGCGACACCGGCAGCCGGCCGAGGAAGAUGGUGGAGCAGAUGAUGGAGCAGGCGACGGAGCGGAUCUGGGACCCCCUGCGUCAGAGGUUCCAGCAGGCUCGGGAGGCGAUCUCCUCAUGGAGCAGAUAGGAGGAGCCCACCGCUGCCUGCAGCACCCUGGCUCUCCGUCCCCGCAGCGCUGUCCGUGCCUCCCGUGCCCCCCUUGUCCUGUGGUAUCCGGCGCUCCAGCUGUGACGUUGUGCAGUCUAUAUGGUUUUAUAAAAAUAUGCUAAUGAGUGAAUAUAAUGUAACUGGGAUAUGCU